GCUUACACAUGCAAGUCGAACGGGAUUUAGUAGACAGAAGCUUCGGUGGAAGAUUACUAAUGAGAGUGGCGAACGGGUGAGUAACGCGUGAGCAACCUGCCUAUGACAGUGGGAUAGCCUCGGGAAACCGGGAUUAAUACCGCAUAAAAUCGUAGAAACACAUGUUUCAACGGUCAAAGAUUUAUCGGUCAUAGAUGGGCUCGCGUCUGAUUAGCUAGUUGGUGAGAUAACAGCCCACCAAGGCGACGAUCAGUAGCCGGUCUGAGAGGAUGAACGGCCACAUUGGAACUGAGACACGGUCCAAACUCCUACGGGAGGCAGCAGUGGGGAAUAUUGCACAAUGGGGGAAACCCUGAUGCAGCGACGCCGCGUGAACGAAGAAGGUAUUCGUAUCGUAAAGUUCUGUCCUAUGGGAAGAUAAUGACAGUACCAUAGAAGAAAGCUCCGGCUAAAUACGUGCCAGCAGCCGCGGUAAUACGUAUGGAGCGAGCGUUGUCCGGAAUUAUUGGGCGUAAAGGGUACGCAGGCGGUUUAAUAAGUCGAAUGUUAAAGAUCGGGGCUCAACCCCGUAAAGCAUUGGAAACUGAUAAACUUGAGUAGUGGAGAGGAAAGUGGAAUUCCUAGUGUAGUGGUGAAAUACGUAGAUAUUAGGAGGAAUACCAGUAGCGAAGGCGACUUUCUGGACACAAACUGACGCUGA
rnacentral:rRNA from 1 species